UACAGGGGGUGCAAACGUUGCUCGGAAUCAUUGGGCGUAAAGCGCACGUAGGCGGUUUGUUAUGUCGGAUGUGAAAGCCCUUGGCUCAACUCAGGAAGUGCAUCCGAAACUGGCAAGCUGGAGUACUAAAGAGGGUCGCGGAAUUCCCGGUGUAGAGGUGAAAUUCGUAGAUAUCGGGAGGAACACCGGUGGCGAAGGCGGCGACCUGGGUAGAUACUGACGCUGAGGUGCGAAAGCGUGGGGAGCAAACAGG
rnacentral:rRNA from 1 species